rnacentral:rRNA from 1 species
UAAUACGGAGGGUGCAAGCGUUAAUCGGAAUUACUGGGCGUAAAGCGCACGCAGGCGGUUUGUUAAGUCAGAUGUGAAAUCCCCGGGCUCAACCUGGGAACUGCAUUUGAAACUGGCAAGCUAGAGUCUCGUAGAGGGGGGUAGAAUUCCAGGUGUAGCGGUGAAAUGUGUAGAGAUCUGGAGGAAUACCGGUGGCGAAGGCGGCCCCCUGGACGAAGACUGACGCUCAGGUGCGAAAGCGUGGGGAGCAAACAGGAUUAGAUACCCUGGUAGUCCACGCUGUAAACGAUGUCGAUUUGGAGGUUGUGCCCUUGAGGCGUGGCUUCCGGAGCUAACGCGUUAAAUCGACCGCCUGGGGAGUACGGCCGCAAGGUU